GAAUUAUAGUGAGUUCUAAUAAUUUUAAUUAAUUUCGUCCAAGUUACAAUUGAACAAAUUAUUUAAAGCAACCACAAAAAGUCUUCAGUUUGUUACUGCAACUCUAGAUGGCAAUACGUGCACAGUAUGAAAAUUAAUCAAAUCAACAGUUUUAUUAAACAAACUUUCAAGUGUUUAACAAUUCGAGUGAUGUAUUAAAAUUAACAGGAAACUUUUACUCCAACUCAGGAUGAGCGAUAAUACACGGAUCAUAGUUACCUAAUCUGCUGUUAAAUAACUGGAAUUACGUUGGAGCAAGCAAUGCAAUGGCAAAUGACUAACCGUCAAUCUCCCCAUCAAGUACUGGCAAGUAUUUGGUUUUGAUUAUGUUAUAUCUUAGAUAAUCAUUAAACCUACUUAUUCAUCUCUAAGCAAUAUCAUUAUUUGUCAACACAAAGAUUUCCUGAGAAAUGUCAUGUCUACUUGAAAUGCGCGUUCAUCAAGAUAACUAUCUAAGAUUUAGAUGGCUGGUGUGAAUAAGAAACAAAACGGUAAAAAGAGAACCGCAAAAAUCAAUCAACCUUGAUUGUUUAUUGAGAGCCUGUAAACAAUGAUGUUUAAGCAAAGUAUAAACCAACUAGGUUCAGGCUUUAACCACCAUCAUGGCUUUCAUAAUGACCACCAUCUCAUCAGGCCUACCAUUAUUUUCAUCUUCAAUGUUGAUUGCUCCGGAUCAAUUAUAUCAAAGAGCUGUAGCUGUCAUACCAUCGACUGUUCAAUUAAAACCUUUGAAGAAGACGCCAAUGACUCUUUCAAGUUAAUUGACUUGAUAAAGAUUGUAAGCUUUUCCAAUUGAUUGAAUUUUGUCAAAUGAUAAUCAAGUGAAUCAGGAUGAAAACAAAAUCAAGUCAACCAUGUACAUUGAUACCAAUCAUUUCUCCUUUUUUAAUUUACUGGAAAUCCCGUUAAUACCAACAAGUUUCUGGUUCAUUUAAAGCCUGUUCUUGCUUCAUGCCAACAUGGAAAACUUCUUAACGAUAAAGCCUCACUCAUCCCAUGAAUAUCGAGUGUUUGCAAAGGCAAUACAUACGAUUAUUGACCGGUAAAGGUAAACGGAAAAGAUAAAUGAUUCACUUGACGGAUGAAACCAGAAAUGAUAAAGGACCAACAAUGUCAACCUAAAUAAUAUAUUCAAAGAAGUGUUUUGUUUGGAAAUGUUCAUGAAUAUUCAAUUUAAUCUGAUAAAGAGACCAAAAUACCGAAGGAAAAUGGAAAAGCCAGGAAUAAAGAAAUCAAAGGAAACAAGUUCCAUCAAAUUGGCAGUUGAGUUGAUUAGAUAAUUAACAGCCGUACAUGUGAAAUGUCGAUAAUUGAUUGUCGCAAUUUUCACAUGAAACUUGUCAAACAUUGAUCAAGAUUAAGGCACAUUACAAUGAUAAGAGUGUUUAAAAUUAUUGCCAUUUCAAGUUAUUUAAAUAUUGCAAUCAAUAUGCUUUGGAUAUUGGCCUUUUGAAGGAAAAACAUUUAUUCAUUGUAAAAAAAGCUUUCAUUGAUGUUAACCAAGAAAAGGCAACAAUUUCACUGUGAAUAUAUUAACACACCAUUUUACAGUUUAUCAUCCUGACACAAGGAUGACUCAUUGAAUACUGAUGAGAGAAAGAUGAAGUUUAAAGGAAAGCCAAAAAUGAUGAUCAAGAAGAUGGCUAAAGCAGCAAGGAAGAGAAACCAAAGGAAAAAAAGAGAGGAGAAAGUGAAUAAAACUCCCAAUUGGUAUUGAGGGGUCAAGAGUAAUAAAAGAUGCUCUUCUUUGUUCCAGUAAAAAGACUCGUCAUUAUCAUCAUAACUGAACCUUUUAUCCUCUUCUCUCAUCUUUAUGUCCAUUAGACCGAAGUAACUGUAAUUUAAACUUGUUAGUUAAAUUGACGAGGUAACUUUUCCUAAAUUAUGCCUUUGAACCACACAGAGAAUCAUGAUUGCUUAUCAUCACCAUCAACCUAAUGAUUACAAUUUUUAUUACUUAUGUUGUUGUUGUUUUGUAUUGAAAAACAUACCAAAAAACACAUUCAAGUAAAUUGUAAUUUGAGGUUCCUAAUUUACACUGGUUAUGAUUAUCACACAGAGCCAGGCAAAAUUACAUUAAACCAGACAAUGAAUCAUAAUGAAAGGCAGCAAAAAAAACACACUGUAAUAUUAAUGAUAAUCAAAGGUAAAUUUAAUAUCCGGUUAACUGUAAUAUUAUCAUUGUACUAAUGAUUACAUUUCAUUAUAGCAGCUAAAAAAACACAAGAGUCAGAAAAAAAAGACCAUAAAAACGGACCUUUUUUACCCUUUACAUUAUUACCUCAACAUUAUUAUUCAGGUUCGACUGUACAAUCGGAGAGGAAGACCAACAGUGGGAAACGACACAAAGCAGGAUAAUUAUCAUCAUCAAACCAUUUGCAAGUUUAAUUAAAUUUCAAGUAUGGCAACAGUUAAUGACAUUUUAAGGAACCAUUUACAACAGCAACAUUCAAUGUAAUACAAUCGAUUGUCAAAUCGAUCUCAUGACUCAUCCAGUCUUUUCAUCCAAAUGUUCAUCUCUUCUUCCUGCUGAUGCAUUAAUAUCCCAAAGAGUAUGAGACUUGAUUCGCAUGUUCAUCAAAAUUCCUGCCUCCUUCACAAUCUUCAGCUUCCGUUGGCAGUCUUGUCCAUCAUCCUCUUUCCUCUUUCCACUUUCAUUUUCAUCCCUUUCCCUUGUUUAGACAAGAUGAAGAUAAAGAUGAUGGAAUCAUCACGCUCUUUCCUGAUUCUGACUCAUUUCUUAUCACCAUUAUCAUCAGUCUGUUUAUCUUCAAUUGACGUUUUCAUUAUAAUUCACAUUUCGCCAAGAAACGAGAAAAUCUUCCCUCUAUCAUGAUGAUGAUGAUAACAAACCCAAUAAUCCGUCAAGAAACCAACAACAAAAGUCUCAACGUUAAGCCCAAUAAGGAAAGGUUGUUGAGGCGCGUGCAAAGAGUGAAGUUACUUUCAAAGUUAAGGUCAAUUGAGUUGAAUCAAAAAUGAGUUUCAUAGGAUGAUGAUGAUGAUGAUGCAAAAAGAGAGAGACUUUUCAUCUCAACAAGUAACACCGGAAUGUUGUCAAACAGGUUUUUACCUUUUCUUCUCAUAGAUUUUACCUUAACCAUUUCCACUUUUUUCAUCAUCAUCAUCAUCUUGACGCAACUUCCACAUCAUCAUUUUACCUUUUUUUUAAUACUUUUAUCUUCAUCUUCAGUCUUUGCCUUGUUUUUUUGGCUUCUUUUGUCCAGUUCUAGAAUUGUAUUCUAAGUGAUUUAAAGCUCACAGACAGGUAACACAUUUAAGACUAGACAAUGCAAUCAGGUUUAUCCUGUCCAAAUGUAAUCAUUUUCAUUAAUAUUUGCACUUUUUUCACUUCUUUUUUUGUACGAUAAAUCUUCUCUUCCUUUUAUUCAAAAGAUAACCUUUUCAUUAUCCUGUCAUUUACCUGUUAAACUGACUCAAAAUCAACAGUCGUUUUUUUGUCUACCUUAAUGUGAUACAUUAACACGCAAUAUCAAUAUUUUUAAUUUACAGACAACCUGAGCCUUUUAUUAACAUUGCCAUUUGUUAUACAAUUUGUUCAAUAACAAUCUACUGUUUGGACAGUCGAUUAAACAAUCAAUUGAUGAGGUAAAGGAAAAAGGUAAACAAAUAAGGAAACAACUUUUUUUGUUCAAUGUUCACCUUUCCAAAGGCUUUUAUAUUUUUCACUGUAAAAGGCAUUGUAGCAAAGGUAAACAAUACAGUUUCAUUAAGCUGUAAAAUGCUGCUAAUGAUGCCUCAACUCUUUCAGCUUUUAAUUGUUGAUACUUUUUUUACCUUUCAUUAUUAAAUUGUUUACUCGCAAGCUUUGUUACAGCAACACUUGCCUAUGAAAUUCAAUUGUAAAUCAACUUUACAGCAAUAAUAAUUGGGUUAUUACAGGCGAUCAACUUUAUUUGAAAAAAAGAUGUAAAUUUAUUUACUCAAUCGUCUAAUUUUGUCCCAAUGUGAAUGACUUUUAAUGUUUACUUGUGAACACAAUUAAAUUGGAAACAAAAAAA